UCCAUGAAAGGCUGAUCUCCUCACUAGGGCUGGAUGCAGCCCUAACAAAGGGACACGGGUUUUAUAUUUUAUUUUAUAUCCUUGGGGUUGUAUGAACUUAUUGUUUUUAAUGGAUAUCUUCUUUUGAAUCAUAUUUAAUUUCUGUGAUUUUAAGUAUGAUGUUCGUACAACUGUUUUUCAUGAUCACUGAGUAAAUAUAAGAUAGUCCAUGCUUAAGAAAGAUGUAGUGUGCUACCACCUUAGAUUAGGGUAGACAUUUCAUGCCAACUGAAGAUGGAUUAUGCCUAAAUUACUUUUGUGAAUUUCUAUUCAAAUGCUUAUUAGGCUUGUAGCCAAUUUGCAUGUUAAUCCAAGAACGAAAUAAAUUAUAAAUAACCCUUGUUCCGAUGUUAGUGGUGAAUU
rnacentral:lncRNA from 1 species